rnacentral:rRNA from 1 species
AACGAACGCUGGCGGCAGGCCUAACACAUGCAAGUCGAGCGCCCUAGCAAUAGGGAGCGGCGCACGGGUGAGUAACGCGUAGGAAUCUACUUUGUAGUACGGAACAACAGUUGGAAACGACUGCUAAUACCGUAUACGCCCUUCGGGGGAAAGAAUUUCGCUAUAAGAUGAGCCUGCGUUAGAUUAGCUAGUUGGUGAGGUAAUGGCUCACCAAGGCUCCGAUCUAUAGCUGGUCUGAGAGGAUGAUCAGCCACACUGGGACUGAGACACGGCCCAGACUCCUACGGGAGGCAGCAGUGGGGAAUAUUGGGCAAUGGGCGCAAGCCUGACCCAGCCAUGCCGCGUGAGUGAUGACGGCCUUAGGGUUGUAAAGCUCUUUUAGUGGUGAGGAUGAUGACGGUAACCACAGAAAAAGCCCCGGCUAACUUCGUGCCAGCAGCCGCGGUAAAAC